AUCGUAACUCCUACGGGAGGCAGCAGUGGGGAAUUUUGGACAAUGGGGGCAACCCUGAUCCAGCAAUGCCGCGUGAGUGAAGAAGGCCUUCGGGUUGUAAAGCUCUUUUGUCAGGGAAGAAGCGGUGGUAGCUAAUAUCUACUACUAAUGACGGUACCUGAAGAAUAAGCACCGGCUAACUACGUGCCAGCGGCCGCGGUAAUACGUAGGGUGCAAGCGUUAAUCGGAAUUACUGGGCGUAAAGCGUGCGCAGGCGGUUGUGUAAGACAGAUGUGAAAUCCCCGGGCUCAACCUGGGAAUUGCGUCUGAGACUGCACGGCUAGAGUGUGUCAGAGGGGGGUAGAAUUCCACGUGUAGUAGUGAAAUGCGUAGAUAUGUGGAGGAAUACCGAUGGCGAAGGCAGCCCCCUGGGAUAACACUGACGCUCAUGCACGAAAGCGUGGGGAGCAAACAGGAUUAGAAACCCUUGUAGUCCUAGAGC
rnacentral:rRNA from 1 species